rnacentral:sRNA from 1 species
AAGGCCAUGGGGUGGGGGCGUGGUCAUAAGGGUUGGGUCCCAGAUGACAAGGGCAGCUGAAUGGAGAGGGAUGCAGUGCAGCCGCACCUGCCCUCUCGGCCACCUGGCUCUGCAGGGUGGUGGUGACCAUCAACAAGAAGAGGAACCUGGUGGUGUCUGUGGACGACGGUGGCACCUUUGAGGUUGUUUUGCACCGAGUGUGGAAGGGGAGCUCGGUCCACCAGGACUUCCUGGGCUUCUAUGUGCUGGACAGUCAUCGGAUGUCAGCCCGGACGCACGGGCUGCUGGGGCAAUUUUUCCACCCCAUCGGUUUUGAAGUGUCUGACAUCCGCCCAGGCUCCGACCCAACAAAGCCAGAUGCCACGAUGGUGGUGAGGAACCGCCGGCUCACGGUCACCAGGGGUUUGCAAAAAGACUACAGCAAGGACCCGCGGCAUGGGGCCGAGGUGUCCUGCUGGUUCAUUCACAACAAUGGGGCUGGACUCAUCGAUGGUGCCUACACUGAUUAUAUCGUCCCCGACAUCUUCUGAGCCCUCUGGCCAGCACGCCUGUCCUCCCCCGGGGCCAAGGCAGAGGAGGAGGACGACAUCCUGACCUGCUGCUGAGGCUGCACCUCCUUGACUAAGCUGGUUCCUUGUGUCAAAGCACCUCAUGCCUUCCAUUAAAGAGAGGCCGUGUCC